rnacentral:rRNA from 1 species
UACGUAGGGUGCAAGCGUUGUCCGGAAUUAUUGGGCGUAAAGGGCUCGUAGGCGGUUUGUCGCGUCGGGAGUGAAAACACUGGGCUUAACUCAGUGCUUGCUUCCGAUACGGGCAGACUAGAGGUAUUCAGGGGCGAACGGAAUUCCUGGUGUAGCGGUGAAAUGCGCAGAUAUCAGGAGGAACACCGGUGGCGAAGGCGGUUCUCUGGGAAUGUCCUGACGCUGAGGAGCGAAAGUGUGGGGAGCGAACAGG